rfam:Oryza sativa Japonica Group DNA, chromosome 3, cultivar: Nipponbare, complete sequence.
CCGCUUGAUGACGAAGAACUCAUUUCCUACGUCCUGGCUGGCCUCGACGACGACUACGAGCCGGUCGUCUCCUCUCUCGUCGGCAAGUCGGAGGUUGUCUCCCUCGCCGAGUGCUACUCUCAACUCCUGAGCUUCAAGU